AACGUAGGAGACAAACGUUAUCCGGAGUUACUGGGCGUAAAGGGUGCGUAGGUGGGCAAGUAAGUCAGUGGUGAAAUCUCCGGGCUUAACCCGGAAACUGCCAUUGAUACUAUUUGUCUUGAAUACUGUGGAGGUCAGCGGAAUAUGUCAUGUAGCGGUGAAAUGCUUAGAUAUGACAUAGAACACCAAUUGCGAAGGCAGCUGGCUACACAAAUAUUGACACUGAGGCACGAAAGCGUGGGGAUCAAAACAGG
rnacentral:rRNA from 1 species